rnacentral:tRNA from 1 species
AAAGAAAAUUCGAUUCCCUUAGUAGCGGCGAGCGAAACGGGAAGAGCCCAAACCAACAAGCUUGCUUGUUGGGGUUG